rnacentral:ribozyme from 12 species
AAGAGGAUGAAGGAGAAGAGGGAGCAAGAAAGCGGUUGACAUUGUUUUUUUCUUCUCUUUCUUUCUCUUUUCUCUCUUCUUUUCUCUCUUCUUUUUUUUCUUUU